rnacentral:lncRNA from 1 species
GAGCGCCUGGCAGAGUCGGGCCGAGCCGCCUGGGAUCGAGGGUCUCCGGGUUUUACGCACCCUCCGCGGCCCUUUCGGAGGCCUCUACCCCCACGCCAUCCAGCGCCGGGUCUCUUUCGACUGCUCCCAGGUUUCUCUCGGGCUCGCUGGGGGCCCAGGCCCGCUCCCUUGUCCGUGAGAGCAACCUGGGGGAAAACGACCGUUUCCCUUUCAGAGGACCGAUGGCAGAAACAAGGCCCUAGGCCCAGUUCUCUAACCCUAACUAUUCUGGAACUUCCUAUUAUGUAGACCAGGAUGGCCUCUGACUCCUGGGAUUGAAGUGCUCAGGAAGCAGAAGCAAGAGGAUCUCUGAAUUCAUGGCCAACCAGGUCUAGUCUACCUAGAUUCAUGUAGACUUAUUUUUACAAAGAUGAAUAAGCAGGAAAUGUAAGAAAGAGAAGCCAAAGGAGGCAAAACCUUCAACUGAGGACUUAGGAGAUAAGAAAGAAGGAGAAUACAUUAAACUCAAAGUUAUUGGACAGGACAGCAGUGAGAUCCAUUUCAAAGUGAAAAUGACAACACAUCUCAAGAAGCUCAAAGAAUCGUACUGUCAAAGACAGGGAGUUCCAAUGAAUUCACUCAGGUUUCUCUUUGAAGGUCAGAGAAUUGCUGAUAAUCAUACUCCAAAAGAACUGGGAAUGGAGGAAGAAGACGUGAUUGAAGUUUAUCAGGAACAAACGGGGGGUCACUCGACG